rnacentral:rRNA from 1 species
AUUGAACGCUGGCGGCAGGCCUAACACAUGCAAGUCGAGCGGAUGAAGGGAGCUUGCUCCUGGAUUCAGCGGCGGACGGGUGAGUAAUGCCUAGGAAUCUGCCUGGUAGUUGGGGAUAACGUCCGGAAACGGGCGCUAAUACCGCAUACGUCCUGAGGGAGAAAGUGGGGGAUCUUCGGACCUCACGCUAUCAGAUGAGCCUAGGUCGGAUUAGCUAGUUGGUGGGGUAAAGGCCUACCAAGGCGACGAUCCGUAACUGGUCUGAGAGGAUGAUCAGUCACACUGGAACUGAGACACGGUCCAGACUCCUACGGGAGGCAGCAGUGGGGAAUCUUGGACAAUGGGCGAAAGCCUGAUCCAGCCAUGCCGCGUGUGUGAAGAAGGUCUUCGGAUUGUAAAGCACUUUAAGUUGGGAGGAAGGGCAGUAAGUUAAUACCUUGCUGUUUUGACGUUACCAACAGAAUAAGCACCGGCUAACUUCGUG